UAGAAAAAUUGCAGCCAGUGGAUGUUCAGGAAGAGCAUUUCAUAGUCAAAAGCUCUGGAGAUGGAACUUCAUUAAGGAGCAAUCGUGCUAUGGACUUGGGACCAGAGAAAUUACUGAACAGAAGGAUGGUGACAGGUGAUUCUUUUGUUGUGACUCCGAGGGAUGGGGAACACGAGGAUAGAGUUAGGCUGGAAGAUAUAGAAAAUGCAGAGAGUUUUCGACCAAUCAUGAAGAGAAGGGACUUGACAGAUGAGGAUUUGGUAAUUUCACAAAGAUUAGAAGAUUCAGGAAGUGGCCUCAGGGG
rnacentral:lncRNA from 1 species